rnacentral:rRNA from 1 species
UGUGUCCUACGGGGGGCAGCAGUGAGGAAUAUUGGUCGAUGGUCGGGAGACUGAACCAGCCAAGCCGCGUGAGGGAUGAAGGUACAGAGUAUCGUAAACCUCUUUUGUCAGGGAACAAAGGCGGGGACGCGUCCCCGGAUGAGUGUACCUGAAGAAAAAGCAUCGGCUAACUCCGUGCCAGCAGCCGCGGGAAUACGGAGGAUGCGAGCGUUAUCCGGAUUUAUUGGGUUUAAAGGGUGCGACGGCGGGCUGUUAAGUCAGCGGUCAAAGGCCGGGG